GGGAGCUUUUGCUCCUGGAUUAGUGGCGAACGGGUGAGUAACACGUGAGUAACCUGCCCUUAACUCUGGGAUAAGCCUGGGAAACUGGGUCUAAUACCGGAUAUGACUCCUCAUCGCAUGGUGGGGGGUGGAAAGCUUUUUGUGGUUUUGGAUGGACUCGCGGCCUAUCAGCUUGUUGGUGAGGUAAUGGCUUACCAAGGCGACGACGGGUAGCCGGCCUGAGAGGGUGACCGGCCACACUGGGACUGAGACACGGCCCAGACUCCUACGGGAGGCAGCAGUGGGGAAUAUUGCACAAUGGGCGCAAGCCUGAUGCAGCGACGCCGCGUGAGGGAUGACGGCCUUCGGGUUGUAAACCUCUUUCAGUAGGGAAGAAGCGAAAGUGACGGUACCUGCAGAAGAAGCGCCGGCUAACUACGUGCCAGCAGCCGCGGUAAUACGUAGGGCGCAAGCGUUAUCCGGAAUUAUUGGGCGUAAAGAGCUCGUAGGCGGUUUGUCGCGUCUGCCGUGAAAGUCCGGGGCUCAACUCCGGAUCUGCGGUGGGUACGGGCAGACUAGAGUGAUGUAGGGGAGACUGGAAUUCCUGGUGUAGCGGUGAAAUGCGCAGAUAUCAGGAGGAACACCGAUGGCGAAGGCAGGUCUCUGGGCAUUAACUGACGCUGAGGAGCGAAAGCAUGGGGAGCGAACAGGAUUAGAUACCCUGGUAGUCCAUGCCGUAAACGUUGGGCACUAGGUGU
rnacentral:rRNA from 1 species